ensembl:lncRNA
CAAUGAACAACAUAAAUAUUAGGCCAAUUUGUGUGUUCGUGGUAGGGCUGUUGUGAAAAAGUUUCAAACAUUUUAAAGUUUUCAAGUCGGCCUAGUUGGCAGAUUAUUUUUCUCCACGUUUCAAAUUUCCCACAACAUUGAACGAAAGAGUUUGUAUUCUUGAGGGAAAUAUUGGAGAAGGUUUGUUGUCAAACAUAUAGGCCUACACUUGAAACAUACAAAAAAAGUAAAAAAUGUAAACGUAGUGUUAUGGUUAAACGAUGCUGAACCCAAGAGCAGACGGAGACGAAGUUGAGUUGAAGGAAAAAGGGUUUAUUGAACGAGGCGAGGAGGCGGGUAUUGGAUGAGGUUGCCGGGGAAGGAGCGAAGCAGGCGAACUGGAGUGAGGGAUCCGGAUAACUGCAGGCAGAGGAAAACAGAGUUGAGUCGUGGACAAAAACUACAAAAGACGAGAGAGCGAGAGCGAGAGCGAGGUAACACAAAUACUAGAGCAAGGCGUGUAUCAUUACCACAGUAGUGCGUAGUACGAUCUGGCACCGACAGCAGGGAAUCCAAGGGUUUAUGAAGGGGAGUUGAUUGGAGAUGAAGACCAGGGAUGAUCAUCAACCACCCGGACUGCAGAGCUUUUAAUACAACUUCCAGUCAAUGGUCUUUUCCUUCCGAAGGAUAGCGCGGAUAUCUGUACAGUACAGGCUAAUAUGUGGACGUAAGGGUUAGAAUCUGCAUCCUCCUGAGACCGGGAAGCCAUGGAAAGGAGCGCACCCUCACGUAUGGACUCCAUAUGUUUGGUGCGCGCAUAACGGACCCCACCGGCAACCUUUCAAAGGCUUUCUGCAGCACUAACAACCUCCCUGCCAACACUCGCUGUCUUCAAGCACCAUGCCGUCUCUGUAUCAUGGGGCCAUCUUCGUGGGGGUCUUCCUCAUAGUGACCGGGGGCUCCACCGCCUUCCUCACCUCGUCCCAGAGCCGUCUGCAGGCCUUCUCCCUCUGCUGCGUGGUGCUAGGGGCCGUCAUGCUCAUCCUGGGGCUCUUUUGGGCCAUGAACACCAAGUCCCCGGUCAACUACAGCCACGGAGAAUACAACGGAGAGUGUCCGCACUAUCCCUACAACGACUACCCCAACUUUGGGAGCCACGUCCUUUUUGCGCCAUCGGGGAGCCGCUUCCCGGAGUCCCAGUCGGUGUUUCUGCCAAGGCACACAACCCCAGAACGCCAUCGGAGUGGCGCCAACUGUGAGGAAUUUGACUACCCUCCCAUGGAUCCCGGAUGUUUCAGUCCCUCCACACAACCUCCCCCGUGGCUUGGACCCCGGCCCCCCUAUGAAGUGGCCAUCAAGGUUACCUGCAGCUCGACGCAACUGCGGCGGGCAUAUUCUGACACCCACCUGGCAUCGGAGCCCCUGUUCGGACGGUCAAGGGAGAUCAGCUUUGAGGUGUGACGCCGGCCAAUGUUCAGACCUCCUUCCCGUGGCUGCCAGUCCAAUAGGCGAAGGUUUUAGGCUGGUGUUCCGAAAUGCAGACGACCUGGAAUCCAACCUUCAUUAGUCAGUGUGAUUAGCGACAUGGUAUGACAGUAACAUCAAUUGAUGCCUGAGGCAGCAUGCUUUUUGCUAAUGUUGACUGAAUAUGUUCCAGCAUGCGCAACCUAUCUCAGAGAUUACUUUGCCCAGUUAAUAAAACGUCAGCGAUCUGAUAAAGUGAUGUGUCUAACCAGAUUUUGGCCUUAUGUAAAGUAUACUUUAUUAUACACGCUUAUUAUUAUUGGUAUGUAGCAACGAUUAUUGUAUGGUUUAGCCUAACUCUAACCCUAUCCCUAACCCUAUUUUGAAGCCUGAAGGGAUAACUUCCGGAUUUUUCAACCUGGACUCUAUUUUUUGCAACUUUAAUUUUUGGUCUAAGUGACUAAUGCAGACAUUACAUUUUAAAUUUGGUCCAUUAUUGAACGCCUGUGCAAGAGUGGCUGUUUUUGCAACUGACUGAGAUUAUAUUCUAUCAUUGUGGAAAGGAUCCUUCCUGAGAAAUACGCUUGAUCUGAUCUGUUUGUUAUUGUGUCUUGUCAAGUCUUGAUCAAGACGUUUCACUCUGUAAUCGUAUUGCAGGAACUGUCCCUAUUGUUUCACUGUCAUUACAAUCUCAACUUUCCUUCAUCUAUAUUUUUGAGAAAUCAAUAAAUUACACUUUCUGUAUUCCAACGCAAAAAACUCCUGCACUUGCCUGCACUCCUGUCUCCAUCUCCCUCAAGUUCUACUUUUCUCUUCCUGCUUGAACUCAACCCGAGCAAUAUUUCAGCUGUAUUUCUCUGUAGGGAUCCUUUCCGCAAUGUCAGACACUUAUUAUAACAACCAACAAGCACUUUAAGAGAAUGUACAGGGUCACAUAGGGUAGGGUUAUAUUGCUUCGUGCAUCAUGACUGCAGUGGCUUAAGAAGUCUUGCUCAACAAUGGACCAAUUUCAAAAAUAUUUGUCCAUGUUAGGAAUUAAAGGUCAAUUUUGAAAAAUCCAGAAGUUAUCAUUUAACUGGGUUAUUGGGAUUGCAACAGCCAUGUGGUGUCUGUAGUAUUAAUUUGGUUUUAAAAAAGGAUCACACAUUAUUUAAUAACCCUUAUAUCCCAUGUAGGUGGUUCCUUGUUAUUCACAUCAGAUUGUAAAAAUGGCUCCAUAACUAUAUCAAUAUGAUUAUUUACUUGCAGGCUUGCCAGUAGUUGGAGGAACUAAUACAGGCAUAAGGUUCACUGCACCUACUACUAGGGGUGGAACCAGUGUUGCCAGAUUGGGCUACUUUUGGUGGACGGUCAGGCAGUGUUGCCAGUUUGGGCGGUUUCCCCCGCUCUAUUGGGCUACUUUUAAAGUAUGCACCGGCUCGUUAUUCUCUUAAACACACACACACACACACACACACACACACACACACACACACACACACACACACACACACACACACACACACACACACACACACACACACACACAAGCAGUGCAGGGCAAUACAUUUGACCUUUCAGAUUCUUCAAUUAAAUUAAUUUUACAUUUCUGCAUUUCUAGCAAUGCUUUGCGCUCUUCAUUCAGCUGUCACUUUAUUUGUGUCCAACCAUUUACAUUUUCUUAAAUGGUGUGCAUGUUUACUCCAUUUAGACUUUUGAAAUUUUGUUCAAAUCCCUUUACUUAAUUUAAGCCAUUUAGCGUUUCUUUAUGUCUUAAUCUAUGUGGCUUUAUUAAAAAAUAUUUUCAACCUUA